UGAUGAUGAUGAUGAUGAUGAUGAUGAUGAUGAUGAUGAUGAAUUACAACAAAACAAGAAGGCUGUCUCGACCUAAUUAUAAUAAUUUCGCUUUGUUGCUUCCAGGAUCUUAUUGGUACCAUCGAGCUCGGAUCAACCAGAGGACCUGAAACUAAGUUAAGUUGUUAUUUGUCUUAUGGGGUGUGAAAUGGAAACAUAUUGCAGAGAUGGGCUGGGACUAACUUGUCAUCGGCAUGAUAGGAAGUAAAUAAUUUGUGAGGUUACUUUAACUUUAAAAAAUCUCUUGGUUGAUGGUAAGGCGCUUGAGUGUGUUUUGUUGACAUCUCGAGUGAUGAUGCAGGUAGGGGUUUAUAUCAGGACAUUUUGUAAAUGGAGGCUCCUUUUGCACUCAGGUCUUCAGUCCGUUUAUGUGGUGUACAGGCCUGGUGUGUGGCUGAUUUGGUUUCUGUGACUGUGUCGAUGGCCGGCAUUGUAUUCGGCCAGUUACUGUAAAUUCUGGUUGUUGUUUUUUUAAAACAGGGACUUCCCUGAUUCACCAUCUGUUGUCAUUUCUGUUUUAUGUCGUGGUCAGUGGUUGUCGGGAACCUAGACCAUUACAUAAUCUGCCUUGUGUCGUUAUCUUGGGUCCCGAACCAAGAGAACGACACAGGCCAGAAAGGAAAACAGGUGGCUGAAGAGCCUAUUUAAUAUCAAUAGUAAAAUUUGCUUCAUUUAGAAGCACUAUACUUUUUGGUGUCGACACAGUUACAGAAACCGAAUCAGCUAUUCAAUGGGCUUGUAUAAGGCAGAAACAGACUGAAGCCAUUACUCUCAAAAUUGUAACCAAAACAAACGGCAGCAUUACUUGGAAUUUCAGCAAAGCGCACUCUUGUGCUUUCCAUCAUUCAAGAGAUCAUGAUUAUUCCCGCUAUGUCUAUGUUAAACCAAGAAUUGAAAUUACAAUCACAAAUCAAGUUAACUUCCUGUCAUGCCUCAUUCACAUACUUAGCUAAGCUUACUUUAAGUAUUAGGUAUAGUCUUUACCAUAUUUCUUGGUGAAGUUUCAUUUUUGUCUCGUCUUUUAUACUGAGGAUCAUCGUACCGUAAGAAGAAAUGUCUGGACGCGGAAAGGGUGGCUAGGGCUGGCGAAGGAAGGUGCCGAACGUGAACGAUUCGCAGUCUUCCCACACAUAUGACAAGAAAUGACUGAACGUGGAAAGCAAUGAACAGAGUUGGAUAAUGGACGUGUAAAGCGUCACCGUUACUGAAAGUGAUUCGUGACAACGUCCGGUGCAUCACCAAGGCACGAGUCUUUCCGAGACACAGACAAGCAAGGCCUGCCGGGAAAAUGUGGGCAAAGGAGGUGCCAGGCAUCCGAGGAGACAGUGGUCCUGGCGGAAGCCGUCUUGGUGCCACUUCCCAAAGUUGGAUUCGUUGAAAGUCGUCUUCAUCAGCUUCUUGAGAAGACAUUUCAUAACUGGAUGUUUAGAGGACAGUCCGUAUGUCAAUCAUCUCUACAAGACCUGAUCAGUCUUUCACGGACAUAUGACAAGAAAUGCCUGGACUUGCUAAGGGCGAAGGAGCUGGGAAUGGAGGCUUCAGGUGCUACCAUCACUGACGGUGCUUCGUGGCAACAUCCAGUUCAUCACGAAGCCAAGGAGUCAUUCAGUCUCUCCAAGGCUCCUUUUGCACGCAGGGCUUCAGUCCGUUUCUGUGUUAUACAGGCCCAAUGUGUGACUGGUUUGGUUUCUGUGGCUGUGUCGAUGGUCGGCAUUGUUUUUAGCGUUACUCUAAAUUCUGUUUUUUUAGAAAACAGGAACUUUCCUGGUUCACCAUCUGGUGUCAUAUCUGUUUUAUGUCGUGGUCAGUGGUUGUCGGGGACCUAGACCAUUACAUAAUCUGCCUCGUGUCGUUAUCUUGGGUCCCGAACCAAGAGAACGACACAGGCCAGAAAUGAAGACAGGUGGUUGAAGAGCCUAUUUGAUAUUAGUAGUUUAGUCCUUUAGACACACUAUACUUUUUGGUGUCGACACAGUCACAGAAACCGAAUCAUUGCAGACAGAAUGCAAAGUGUACAUUAUGUAUAUCAAGAUGUUAGAUUCAUGUAGUUAAGCUUGCCUAUUCCCAUAUUUUUGAGUCAAGCUUCAUGUUGGUCUCGUAUUGCAAAGAGGUUUGGAGAUGCUGAGCUGUGUAGACAUGCGUCUUUUGUAAGCAGUCUUUGUUUUGAAUAUAUCAUAUCAUGCCAUUCCAGUACAGGGUGACUGUCUUUUGUUGUCACUUAGCCUUUGUGUUAAAAAUGCAUUUCAAUUGUAUUAUUGUAAUUCAGUAGAUCGAUUAAUAUUGCCCGUUUAUUGAUGAGUAUAGGUUGUUUGUAGCCUUUUAAAUCAGUCAUUUGGAAAAAUCCCUACCUAAGGCUUAGGCUGACGCUGAUACUAACACAAAGACACAGACACGCACACACACUAACAAACUAACCCUUCCAAACACACACUAACAUACUGAUGCAACAUCUUUUUGUCGAACACUAAUAAUCAGCUCUGCCUAAGCCUUAGACUACAAAAUAACUUUCUAAUCUUCGUCAAGUACAAAGGCGCCAAGCUACCUCUAUACCAUGUAAUGACAAUGUUACAUUUACUGAUCUGAUUUUGGCUCUGUUGGCCACCGUGUCCUAGAGUAAGGGUAAUUGUUAAUCUAUGUAUGGAAGAUGUUAAGAUUUCAGUUCAAUUUUUAAAGUUUUAUAUAGUGCUUGUGUAUUUUUCUCAAUUCAUUGUGUGUUUUUUAGAUUUGCACACAUAUGUUUUCAUAUAUCUAUUUUGUCAAUAAUUGCUAUCAAAUAAACAGUUUGAAAUCAAA